rnacentral:rRNA from 1 species
AUGGCGAUGGUCCCGGAUGCUUUUGCAUCCUACGUGCAAAACAUGCUCACGGAGAUGGUGAGUGAAGAGGUGCACAUGCUUCUUGGAGUCGGAGACGAGAUCGACAAGAUGGAUGCCAAGCUUAGGGACCUCAAGAACUUUCUCGCUGAUGCUGAUAGGAGAAACAUCACCGACAAGAGCGUGCAAGAGUGGGUGGGGCAGCUCAAGCGUGCCAUGUAUGAAGCCACUGACAUCCUCGACCUCUGUCAGCUCAAGGCCAUGGAGCGUGGUUCGUCCACUAAAGAUGUGGGGUGCUUCAACCCCUUGCUCUUCUGCAUGCGGAAUCCCUCCCAUGCCCACGACAUUGGCACCCGCAUCAGGGCGCUCAACAAGAGGCUCGACACCAUCAAGGAGCAAAGCUCUGCUUUCAGCUUCAUCAAUCUUGGUUCCUAUGAGGAUCGUGGCAGCAAGGUGCAAGCCUCUCGUUUUGGCAAUAAGAGACGUGAGACAUCAGGGAUGUUUGACUUGUCGGCUGUAGUCGGAGAGAAGAUAGAACAAGACACAAGAAAGCUGGUUGACAUCAUGCUGAGUGAAAAGGAGGGCAGCACCAACAUCAUGGUGGUCGCCGUUGUUGGUGUCGGCGGAAUCGGCAAGACCACUCUUGCCCACAAGGUCUUCAAUGACGAAGCCUUGAACAACGUGUUUGAGAAGACGAUAUGGUUGAGCAUCAACAAGGACUUCGACGAGGUUGAGUUGCUUAGGACAAUCAUCACGCAAGCAGGGGGAGUACAUGGUGGUAAUAAGGCGUUGGCUGUGCUUCAGCCAAUCCUUGUCACUACCUUGAAAGGGAAGAAGCUAUUCCUGGUGCUGGAUGAUGUGUGGAACCAUGGGGUGUGGGAUGAUGUGCUUAAAACACCCUUGGCUAGUGUUGUGGCUCCAGGUAGCCGAGUCCUCGUCACUACCAGAGAUGAAACGGUAGCUCGAAGGAUGAAAGCCGUGCUUCCCUAUCACCAUGUGGACAAGUUAGAUGAGGAGGAUGCCUGGUCAUUACUCAAGAAACAGAUAAUCUCAAGUGAGAUUGAUGGACGUGACAUUGAUAUGCUCAAGGACAUUGGGUUGCAAAUUGUAGCGAAAUGUGAUGGUUUGCCUCUUGCAGUCAAAGUAAUGGGAGGUCUAUUGUGCCAGAAGGACAAAAACCACCGUGAGUGGGAGAUGGUUCUGGCUGAUUCUAUAUGGUCGAUAUCUGGAAUGCCCGAAGAGCUAAACCAUGCAGUAUAUUUAAGCUAUGAAGAUUUAACUUCUUGUGCCAAACAAUGCUUUCUGCAUUUCUCCCUUCUCCCUAAAACUGCGGUGUUUUAUUGCAAUGAAAUCAUUGGCAUGUGGAUAAGUGAAGGGUUUCUUCAUGGAACCUCGGACGAGACCUCAGACGACUUAGAAGAAAUAGCAAGCAAGUACUAUAAGGAACUGAUACUAAGGAAUCUUCUAGAGCCAGAUUCAAUGUAUGUUGACCAAUGUUUGUGCGACAUGCAUGAUGUUGUACGCUCAUUUGCUCAAUUUGUGGCUAGAGAUGAGGCACUAGCAGCUCACAGUGGAGGAACCAAUAUUGUUAGUAAACUUAGUGCACAUGAGUUUCUUCGGUUAUCUCUAGAAAGCAAAGCAUCAGAAUCAGAUGGGUUAGACUGGAGUUCUUUGCAAGCACAAAAGACAUUAAGGGCGCUAAUAUCAGUUGGCUAUAUAAAUACCAAGCCUGGUGACUCCUUGGUUCAUUUUCCAUGCCUACGAAUUUUAUAUAUAGAUUCUGCACAUGUUGUAGCAUUGCUUGAAUCUUUGCAUGAACUCAAGCACCUAAGGUACUUGUCAUUGGAAAGCACUGAUAUAUCUAGACUACCUGAUAGCAUUGCAAAGCUGAAAUUCUUGCAGUACAUUAGCCUUCAUGGAUGUGAACAGUUUGUGGAACUUCCACAUAGCAUUAUAAAGUUAAGGCAGCUAAGGUACCUUAACUUAAGUGAAACAAGUAUAAAAGGCAUACCUAGGGGGUUCUGUGCUCUAACAAACUUGAGGAUAUUACAUGGGUUUCCAGCACACGAGGAUUGUGAUUGGUGCAGUUUGGAAGAGUUGGGUCCUCUUUCUCAGCUCAAGGAGCUUAUAGUGGAUGGAUUGGAGAAUAUAACUGCUUCCUCAUGUGCAGCGAAGGCAAAGCUUGGUGACAAGAUGCAUCUUACUGAGCUAUCCCUACAAUGUGGCAGUAUAUUGGGAGAUGAUGGGCAGAUUGCAGAGGAAGAUAGUGUCUCCGAGGAAGAGCAAAAACAAAUCGAGAAGGUGUUUAAUGAGCUCUGCCCUCCAUCCAAGUUAGAAUAUCUUAAAAUCAAGGGGUACUUUGGUCGACGCCUCCCAAGGUGGAUGAUGGCAUCAUCAGUUGUGUCCCUCGAUAGCUUGAGGAUUCUGUUCUUUGAAGACCUGGCUUCCUGCAUACAACUUCCUGAUGGCUUGUGUCAACUCCCCUAUUUGGAGUUCAUUCAAAUCGACCGUGCUCCAGCCAUCAAGCGUGUUGGACUUGAAUUCAUGCACUCCUACCAUCAGCACACUCCUUGUCCUUCCCGGAUGGUGGCUACAUUUCCAAGGUUGCAUGAGAUGAAUUUAAUAGAAAUGGUGGAAUGGGAGGAGUGGGAGUGGGAGGAGCAAGUGCAAGCCUUUCCUGUCUUGCAGGAACUUAGUCUACAACGGUGCAAAUUGAAGUGUCUUCCUCCUGGCCUUGCCUCCUAG